rnacentral:rRNA from 1 species
UCGCACCUACCGAUUGGAUGGUCCGGUGAGAAUUUCGGACUCGGAUAACUUUUUCUUUAUUGAAGAGGUUGUCUAGGGAAGUUAUUCAAACCUUACCAUCUAGAGGAAGGUG